AGAUAUGCAAUGAUUGGGACAGUACAUUUUAUUUUUCCUUUAAGAGAGGCGGCGUUCGCUGCGAGCCGUCAGGAGAUACUUUGGAACGCUCCCCAUGAGCAUGCCGGAGAAAUUCGGCCGCGCGCCGCGAUAAAGCACCACGAGUGAGCCCAAUGCUCAUAAAGGUGGUACCACGGGAACUGCUCUCGUCCUUUAC
rnacentral:ncRNA from 1 species